GAUGAACGCUGGCGGCGUGCCUAAUACAUGCAAGUCGAGCGAACAGACGAGGAGCUUGCUCCUCUGACGUUAGCGGCGGACGGGUGAGUAACACGUGGAUAACCUACCUAUAAGACUGGGAUAACUUCGGGAAACCGGAGCUAAUACCGGAUAAUAUAUUGAACCGCAUGGUUCAAUAGUGAAAGACGGUUUUGCUGUCACUUAUAGAUGGUUCCGCGCCGCAUUAGCUAGUUGGUAAGGUAACGGCUUACUACGGCAACGAUGCGUAGCCGACCUGAGAGGGUGGUCGGCGGCAUUGGAGCUGAGACGCGGUCCAGACUCCUGCGGGAGGCCGCAGAAGGGAAUCUUACGCAAUGGGCGAGAGCCUGACGGAGCAACGCCGCGUGAGUGAUGAAGAUGUUCGGAUCGUAAAACUCUGUUAUUAGGGAAGAACAAAUGUGUACGGAACUGUGCACGUCUUGACGGUACCUGAUCAGAAAGCCACGGCUAACUACGUG
rnacentral:rRNA from 1 species